CUUGGAGCCAAUGUCUCAGUCUUGUGUCAGGGUUUAGAAGCUUUCAGUGAGGUAAGGGGAGAGAGGCCUGCUUGGAUGUCCUUUGAUACCAGGAGUCCCCUGGGGAUUCCUUCCCAUCAUGUCCUGGAAGAGGAAGAAGCCAGGCUAACGUGGGUGGAAGGUUAGAGAGACACCUUCAAGUGACUGCUUUGGAGAUGACCCCAGAUCUGCAGUCAUUUCAGAGACAGAACAAAGGCAGUCCAGAGAGAGAGCUUCUGGGGGCAGCUGCGACCUCACUGGGAUCAACUGGGAUUCUGGGGCCAGUUAAGUCCGUUUUCCACGUUGACUCUUCCAGAACCAGAAAUGUGCACACUGAACCCACUCCUGCUGAAGAAGACUGCUGUGACUGAUGCAGAUAUGCUAACAGGCACAGGAAAAGGAUCCAGAUUCCUUUGGCCAUGCUCCUGAAAUCCACUGCCUUCAAAAGCCCACAAAACUGCCCUUACGAAGCAGUCGCAGCAGUUCAGAGACCAUGCCCACCCCACACCUCCCUGCAAGCCUGGCCUCUUCACGGACCUAGGCCAUCCCGACCUUCAGGGAAUGUGGUAAUAGAGUCUAUGGCCCGCCUGUGGGGACUGGUGACCUCCAGAUGUGCAUGCUUCAAAAGAAUUACUAGAAGACAAAAGUGAAAAAGAGAAACUCAGGCAUCUUGCAUGUUUGCUAAAUAAAUCAAUAAGCAAAUAAAUGAUUGAGUGAAAGAGUGGGCUCUGCAAUGUGAUGGUGGAGCAGGAUUUAAACGGUGGAAACAGAGAGGGUCACUUCUCCACAAAAUAGCACCAUGGAGUUUUUCUUGUUUUUUUGCUUUUUUUUUUUUUUUUGCAAAAUCCCUUGGCUAUGCCCCUGAAAUCCGCUGCCUUUGAGAGCAGAAAUCUGGCUGUUGUGUGUGUGCAUGUGUGCCCUGGGCUCUGCCUCCUCGUACAGGCACCUAUUGAUUGAGGGAGGGAAUUACCGUUUUUUUCUGCACUAUCCUUCCUCCCCCAACCCGGGGGCUGUGAUCUCAGCAUAUUAAUGGCUAAGAAGACAAAACAGUGGUUUAAUUAGUGCUGUAAGAAGCCCAGGGCUAAUAGGAACCAGAGAAUAUUUAGUUCUGGGUGUUCUGGGUGAUCUUUUCUUGCCAAAAAGCUGUCCCUUUCCCAACCAGGCAAAGGGACCGGCUGGUGUGUGUGUCGCUAAUUACAGCAGUGACUCAGGCGCUAGACAGCCCUGUGACUUCUGAAGAAGGAAGGCACAGCCCUGUGGGCGUCGGGGAACACAAGCAGGUGUUGUAAGUAAGAAGUACCAGGUCCAAAUCUGAAAUGGGCAGUGGAGAAAGGAAGGAGCUCUAGAAAACAAAGAAUCAUUACUCAGAAAAUGGCCAAACGCUUCAACAUUCUGUUCCUUUGCUGAGUGAUGGGUCACCCUCAGUAUCCCCAUUUGGGGUUCAGAAAAUACCAACAUAGUAGAGUUAGGGGAUACUCCUGCCUCCUCUCUCAUAAGGCCUAUCUCAGAAUAGUUUUUCAUUCAUGGUGGCUGUUUUUAAGCAAGCAAUACUUCUCUCUCUUCUCUAUUCUGUUACUUAUGGGCAUCCUCAGCUUACUUUAGAUUUUAUGCAGUCUUGGAUUUGUCUAGUCUGUGUAUAAAUCCAGCGUCUCCAGUCAUAUUAUUAAUUCCUCAGAGACAACGAUUCUGAUCAAAACUUUCCUUAAAACCUUAUUGCCUCAGCACCUGGAUAGACACAUGUAACCUAAACAAUUCCUCCCAGUUGAAUCAAAAGAAAGAUUUGGGAAAGCUACAUCAUUUCUGGAGCCUGGUACAAAUUAAAAAUGUGGGGCCCCUUAUCAAAAGAGCAGAGAAAAAAAAAGAGUGACAUUAAAAGCACUAAAAUAUAAAAUUUAUUCCUCUUUCCUGUGGUCUUUCUGCUGACCUGACUCGGUGCUUUUUGUUUGUUCUUUAAACUUCUUCUAGG
rnacentral:lncRNA from 1 species